rnacentral:lncRNA from 1 species
UGAUAUCUCAAACGUUGGCUGAAACAAUUAUUACUUCUCUGUCUCAAAUUGAAUCCCAACUCAAAUGAAUGGUGAUUAGUCAAUUCACAAGCAUUAAGUCCAAAAUGAAAUACUCAACAAUUGGAACAAAUAUCAGUUAAUUCAAGUAAAGGAAGAUUCACAUAAUUUUAGUUAGGCUACAUCUCAAACUCUAAAAGAUAGAAAUUAAUUCAUGCUAAAAUUAAAGAAAAGUUUAAAUAAAGAGUUAACAUCAAGAAAUUGAAAGAGAUGGGAAGAAGGAAAAACUCAGUGAAUCUGGUCUCAUGUUUCCUUGAAGUGGCUUCCCUCUUUUGAUAGCCAAAAAGGAAGAAAAAGAAUCGAUCCACCUUGGUCCCAGCCUUCUUGGUCGUCCUCUGCUUUUUUUCCCUCUUCAACUCCUUUCAAGCCAUCUUCACCAAGAAAAGAAAGAAUCAAUCCCCAAUUCGCCUCUUCAACUCGGCAGAUUUUUAGCCUUGGAUUGUGGGCCGUUUUUCACUUAGAAAACGUGAGAAUUUCAAAAUCUCUAUUUCAUGAGAAAUUGUAGCACGUUAAAUUAGCUUUCCAAGGCCUCUUGAAUCAGCUCAAUACGACAUCAGAUGAGGGAGAUAUGGUGAAAAUACGAAGGGCAGUACAGAUGUGUUUCCAAUUCGGGAUUUCUUCACAGCAAGAGACGUCUUCCACAGAUUUUGCUCCCUUCGUUAAUCUUUCCAAUCUAUUUUAUUUUGAUUGGGCUGGGUUAAGUCCACUUGAAUUGAGUCCUCUCUUAUGGGCCUUGAACUUUGUUAUUUUUGGACUCCAUUUCUACAAUAAAAUUGUAAACACCACAAUUAGGAUUGACCUUCAU